rnacentral:rRNA from 1 species
UACGGAGGAUCCGAGCGUUAUCCGGAUUUAUUGGGUUUAAAGGGUGCGUAGGCUGGUUUUUAAGUCAGCUGUGAAAUACCGACGCUUACCGUCGGCACUGCAGUUGAAACUGGGAACCUUGAGAGUGCAAGAGGCAUGCGGAAUUCAUGGUGUAGCGGUGAAAUGCAUAGAUAUCAUGAAGAACCCCGAUUGCGAAAGCAGCAUGCUGGGGCAUAUCUGACGCUGAGUCACGAAAGUGCGGGUAUCAAACAGG